CUGCAGCCCCUGAAAGGUUCAUGGUGGAGCAGAGAUCACAGAGGACCUGCUGCCCCUGGAGGAUCUCAUGCUGGAGCAGAUCAGGUCACCUUUGCCCAUGAUGGUAACUGGUGAGUGAUCUCUCCCUCUCCCUGAUCUUGCCUCAUUUCUAAUGCAGUGAAUACAUUGAAUGCAGCUCUUGGGAUUCAAAUGUUGCUCUUCAGCUUACUCAUUGAUGUUGUGGUGGAAGGGGAAUACAAAAGCAUCUAUGCUGAACAGGAGGGAAACUACAUGCUUAAGAAAGUCCAACCCAACUAUGCCAUUCCAUCAAUGCAGAUCAACACCAGCCUUAUGAGUUUUACAGCGAGAGGCCAGAAGGAACACAUUCAUGCUGAUGGCUGGUCAGAGACAGAAGAAAAGACAAAGCCAUGGGAGACCUGGCUGGCUUCCAGGCAGUGUGUCCUUAGCAGAGAGCCAAGAAGAAACUGGGUCCUGUGCCCCGUGUCUUGUAGCAGUGAAGCCCCAAGGGAAAAUUAUUCCAUCCUGGGGCAUUUCUGUUUUGAACUACUGCUGGCGGUUUGUUUGGGACUAUGGGAGCAGAUAGUACCAUCCCAGAAGCCCUGACUGGAAAAUAAAAACUUCCCCCUUUGCCACUGGUUUAGGAUUUGGGCGGUGAACUUGGAACUGGUAAAUAUUUCAGGAAUCCAUACAUAAGUUAGAAGUUUAUUGAAGAGGACAUUAUGUUAAUGGAAUGAUCUGCCAUAUUUUCUCUGCCUUAAUACUUUUUUAGACUGCUGUCUUUUAUCCAAGGCAGUUGAGAUGAUAAAAUAGCAAGCAAACAGCUGAGUGGUCUCUGCCACCAUCAGGCAGCUAGUA